AAAGUACUCCCUCCGUCCCAAAAUUCUUGUCUUAGAUUUGUCUAGAUACGGAUGUAUCAAGUCACAGAUACAUCCGUAUCUAGACAAAUCUAAGAUGAGAAAUUUGGGACAGAGGGAGUAGUUG
rfam:Triticum aestivum genome assembly, contig: Triticum_aestivum_CS42_TGACv1_scaffold_406222_5BL